CCCGUGUGGAACAGCUGUCUGUGCUGUUCCACAGACACAAUGUGCCUGCAUUCCCAAGUGCCAGCAGCACCAGCGUCAAAGAGGAGAUUCAUUUUCCGGGAAUGACAUCGCUGGCCCUCGGAAGGGGUUUGGGCUGUUUUGGGCAGCAUCAGCGUGGAUUCCUUUUUGCCCGUCCCCAGCCGGUGCCAGCCCCGCUGGCCGUGCUCCCUGCGGCCCCUUCGUGCAGAGGAGGGAGAGCUGCGGAGAUUUAUUAACAGUGGGUUUGCUGACAGUGUUUGUCUGCACUCUUUCCCUCCUUUGACUCGCACGGCAGCGUCCGGUUUUUUGAUUUCCCCUUCUGUAGCUGUUUGCCUCAUAGGCAGGACCUGCCUCAUCUGGAAAUAAAGAUUAAAUGUUUUAA